rnacentral:rRNA from 1 species
AUUGAACGCUGGCGGCAGGCCUAACACAUGCAAGUCGAACGAGUGGCGGACGGGUGAGUAAUGCUUGGGAAUCUAGCUUAUGGAGGGGGAUAACUACGGGAAACUGUAGCUAAUACCGCAUACCAUAGGAUGUGCCCAAGUGGUAUUAGGUAGUUGGUGGGGUAAAGGCUCACCUAGCCGACGAUCUCUAGCUGGUCUGAGAGGAUGACCAGCCACACUGGAACUGAGACACGGCCCAGACUCCUACGGGAGGCAGCAGUGGGGAAUAUUGCGCAAUGGGGGCAACCUGACGCAGCCAUGCCGCGUGAAUGAAGAAGGCCUUCGGGUUGUAAAGUUCUUUCGUUAGCGAGGCGUUACUUACAGAAGAAGCACCGGCUAACUCCGUGCCAGCAGCCGCGGUAAUUC